UUGAGCAACUUGAAAUGAAGUGAAAUGAGUGACCAAUGUGAUUUUUCCCAUCUUUAAAAAUGCUUCAUGUUCUUGGCAGUCGAAGGAUUGCGACAUCCCUGUUUUAUCUUCUUACCCAAAUAAAUCUCUCCAUGCUUCCUGCCUUGCAGGCAAACUAGGAUCUGGACAUUGCUGAAGAAAUUUCCAGGAAGGAUUGUCUAUAAUUUUAGAGAUAAUGAUUGAAUACAAGAAAAUUGUUCUUCUAAAAGGAUUUGAGAGCAUGGAUGACUACCAGUUUAGAACAAUCGAAGCCUUCCUAAGAGCAAAAAUCUAACUAAUAGAAUGGAGCAUGAAUAUGACAGAAUGCAGAUAGCUGACCUGAUGGAGGACAUAUUCCCAAAAGCUGCUGGACUGGACACACUGAUAGCAGUGUGCCAAAACUUGAGGAACUUGAAGACCUUGCACAAAGACUUAAAAUAGAAAAAGCAAAAGAUAACAGAGUAGCACACUGAACAUACAUCUCUUUUCCAACUUUCCCAAACUCCUUGCAGUGGUCAGAGAUGAUGUGUCACUUUCACAUUGUGGUUAGAAAACAUGUGGUUAAAGCAUUUCAGAUGUUAACAAGUGAUGAUUUUGAGAAGUCCUUUCUCACAAAGGAACUUGGUAUGUUUCUGGGUAGACAUCUUUUACUUUUGAGGUCAUCAAUGUCAGAAGGAAUGUCUCUUGGCGCUGAUAGAGUUAUGAAAACCUCCCUAGAAAUCCUCCUUCUCUUGAGCUCCAUGAAAGGAGCUCCAAACAAAAACUGGGGCCGUUGAGCCCCUUUCCUAGUGUUGCACAUGGUUGCUCUUCACACAUAUUCCUGUCCGGGUCUGUACUGUCAAUUGUCAUGAAUAAAGUGGCACUGCUUAUUUGCAA